CGCAACGGUGCAAAGGGGCUUCAUUUGCAUUUCUUUUAAACCUCUGGAGUACCCUCAGGGAGAGCCCACUGCAUCAAGCAUCCGCCUCUACAAUACCUAUAUAGAACCAGAAACACAACUAAUGAACAGGAAUAUCACUCCUUCAGCCUACUACAUCUGCCAUUCCAAUCACCAUCGCCCGCACCAACGUGACCGAUCUUUUAAAGGUGAGCACUUUCUCACACCAUCAACAGUAUUAUCCAUAUCACCAGGAUCCUUCCCUCUUCUUACAGCAGCAUCAGG